GACGAACGCUGGCGGCGUGCUUAACACAUGCAAGUCGAACGGCAAGGCCCUGCUUUUGUGGGGUGCUCGAGUGGCGAACGGGUGAGUAACACGUGAGUAACCUGCCCUUGACUUUGGGAUAACUUCAGGAAACUGGGGCUAAUACCGGAUAGGAGCUCCUGCUGCAUGGUGGGGGUUGGAACGUUUCGGCGGGUGGGGAUGGACUGGCGGCUUAUUAGCUUGUUGGUGGGGGAGUGGCUUACCAAGGCGAUGACGGGUAGCCGGCCUGAGAGGGUGACCGGCCACACUGGAAGGGAGAAACGGUCCAGACUCGUACGGGAGGGAGCAGUGGGGAAUAUUGGACAAUGGGCGGAAGCAUGGUCCAGCCAUACCGCGUGGGUGAAGAAGGCCUUCGGGUUGGAAAGCCGUUUUGUUGGGAAAGAAAAGAAGCAGGUUAAUAACCCGCUGUUCUGACGGUACCCAAAGAAUAAGCACCGGCUAACUUCGUG
rnacentral:rRNA from 1 species